GGCCACCCAACAAGAGAAGAACUUCUGAAGAAUUCAUGAAUUCACAGGCUCAUAGGUGGAAGGGACUAUUAGCCUUGUCUCAGAUAAGACUUGGGACUUUGGACUUUUGAGUAUGCUGGAAGGAGUUAAGACUUUGGAGAACUAUUGGGAAGAGAUUAUUAUAUUUUGCAAUGUGAGAGGGACAUGAGAUUUGGAGGAGCCAGGACUUCAGCAUCUGUGAAUUUUAAUAUCCAAGAGAGGUCCUGGAACCAGUCCUCCUCAGAUUCCAAGG
rnacentral:lncRNA from 1 species